UAAUUUUAAUGAUGGGUCAGUCUCAGCGAUUAACUCGGGAGCAAUUAUUUGGAAGUACGACUAUCUGACUCGAUUAACCCCAAGAAAGCCCAAUUCACGAGGGCCCCAAUUCUGACAUUUCCCCUCCGCACUUUUUUUUUUUUUUUUUGGUUUCUCGUUUUUUUUUGCAUUUUCUAAUUAAUAAAUAAUUAUUAUUUUC
rnacentral:lncRNA from 1 species